rnacentral:rRNA from 1 species
CCUACGGGGGGCAGCAGUGAGGAAUAUUGGUCAAUGGACGAGAGUCUGAACCAGCCAAGUAGUGUGAAGGAUGACUGCACUAUGGGUUGUAAACUUCUUUUAUAAAGGAAUAAAACGAGGCACGUGUGCCUUGUUGCAUGUACUUUAUGAAUAAGGAUCGGCUAACUCCGUGCCAGCAGCCGCGGUAAUACGGAGGAUCCGAGCGUUAUCCGGAUUUAUUGGGUUUAAAGGGAGCGUAGAUGGGUUGUUAAGUCAGUUGUGAAAGUUUGCGGCUCAACCGUAAAAUUGCAAUUGAUACUGGCAGUCUUGAGUACAGUUGAGGUAGGCGGAAUUCGUGGUGUAGCGGUGAAAUGCUUAGAUAUCACGAAGAACCCCGAUUGCGAAGGCAGCUUACUAAACUGUGACUGACAUUGAUGCUCGAAAGUGUGGGUAUCAAACAGGAUUAGAUACCCCUGUAGUC